rnacentral:rRNA from 1 species
GGAUUAGAUACCCUGGUAGUCCACGCUGUAAACGAUGAUAACUCGGUGCUGGCGAUAUACAGUCAGUGCCCAAGCGAAAGUGAUAAGUUAUCCACCUGGGGAGUACGAUCGCAAGGUUGAAACUCAAAGGAAUUGACGGGGGCCCGCACAAGCGGUGGAGCAUGUGGUUUAAUUCGAUGAUACGCGAGGAACCUUACCUGGGCUUAAAUGCAUAAUGACCAACUGGGAAACCAGUUUUUCUUCGGACAGAAUGCAAGGUGCUGCAUGGUUGUCGUCAGCUCGUGCCG